rnacentral:rRNA from 1 species
GACGAACGCUGGCGGCGUGCUUAACACAUGCAAGUCGAACGGAAAGGCCCUGCUUUUGUGGGGUGCUCGAGUGGCGAACGGGUGAGUAACACGUGAGUAACCUGCCCUUGACUUUGGGAUAACUUCAGGAAACUGGGGCUAAUACCGGAUAGGAGCUCCUGCUGCAUGGUGGGGGUUGGAAAGUUUCGGCGGUUGGGGAUGGACUCGCGGCUUAUCAGCUUGUUGGUGGGGUAGUGGCUUACCAAGGCUUUGACGGGUAGCCGGCCUGAGAGGGUGACCGGACACAUUGGGACUGAGAUGCGGCCCAGACCCCUACGGGAGGCAGCAGUGGAGAAUAUUGCACAAUGGGCGGAAGCCUGAUGCAGCAACGCCGCGUGCGGGAUGACGGCCUUCGGGUUGUAAACCGCUUUCGCCUGUGACGAAGCGUGAGUGACGGUAAUGGGUAAAGAAGCACCGGCUAACUACGUG